rnacentral:lncRNA from 1 species
UAUGUAAGUGCAUACCCUACUCCUACAGUGAACCUACUGCAGCCAAUCUACACAACAAGGAUCCAUAUGACUAGAGACCAUGUAUAUGUGCAGUCAAACUACAAUAAUCUCACUGUGAAUAGCCGAAGCACCGCAGGUCAAAGGACCAGUCACACUACUACAACAUCAAGCAAGUCAUUGACGAGUGGAUAGACAUCCAAGUGACUUCUUAUCUUGGUCACGCUCAGUACCCUUGUUCUCUAACAAGCACCUGCA